UCCCCGGUAGCUCAGCGGUAGAGCAAGCGGCUGUUAACCGCUUGGUCGCUGGUUCGAGUCCAGCCCGGGGAG
rnacentral:tRNA from 1 species